ACGUAGGGGGCGAGCGUUAUUCGGAACUACUGGGUGUAAAGGGUAUGUAGGCGGCCCUUCAAGUCGCGUGUCAAAGUCCAGUGCUCAACGCUGGGUGUGCACGCGAUACUGACGGGCUUGAGGGCUGGAGAGGUGAGCGGAAUUCCUAGUGUAGCGGUGAAAUGCGUAGAUAUUAGGAGGAACACCAGUGGCGAAGGCGAUCUACUGGACGAUAACUGACGCUGAGGCGCGAAAGCGUGGGGAGCAAACAG
rnacentral:rRNA from 1 species